AGCCCUUCGGGAUGUCCGAUAAAAUUGAAACGAUAGAGAUAAGAUCAACAUGCCCUGCGCAUGGAUGACACGAACAUAUCGAGAAAUGGUUUAAUUUUUU